rnacentral:tRNA from 1 species
UCUCUGGUAGUCCAGUGGCUAAGGCAUUGCACUGCCAAUGCAGGGGACCCAGGUUCGAUCCCUGGUCUGGGAA